rnacentral:rRNA from 1 species
GAUGAACGCUGGCGGCGUGCCUAAUACAUGCAAGUCGAGCGAAUGGAUUAAGAGCUUGCUCUUAUGAAGUUAGCGGCGGACGGGUGAGUAACACGUGGGUAACCUGCCCAUAAGACUGGGAUAACUCCGGGAAACCGGGGCUAAUACCGGAUAACAUUUUGAACCGCAUGGUUCGAAAUUGAAAGGCGGCUUCGGCUGUCACUUAUGGAUGGACCCGCGUCGCAUUAGCUAAUUGGUGAGGUAACGGCUCACCAAGGCAACGAUGCGUAGCCGACCUGGGAGGGUGAUCGGCCACACUGGGACUGAAACACGGCCCAGACUCCUACGGGAGGCAGCAGUAGGGAAUCUUCCGCAAUGGACGAAAGUCUGACGGAGCAACGCCGCGUGAGUGAUGAAGGCUUUCGGGUCGUAAAACUCUGUUGUUAGGGAAGAACAAGUGCUAGUUGAAUAAGCUGGCACCUUGACGGUACCUAACCAGAAAGCCACGGCUAACUACGUGCCAGCAGCCGCAGUAA